rnacentral:rRNA from 1 species
UGGGGAAUUUUGGACAAUGGGGGAAACCCUGAUCCAGCCAUCCCGCGUGUGCGAUGAAGGCCUUCGGGUUGUAAAGCACUUUUGGCAGGAAAGAAACGUCGCGGGUUAAUACCCCGCGAAACUGACGGUACCUGCAGAAUAAGCACCGGCUAACUACGUGCCAGCAGCCGCGGUAAUACGUAGGGUGCAAGCGUUAAUCGGAAUUACUGGGCGUAAAGCGUGCGCAGGCGGUUCGGAAAGAAAGAUGUGAAAUCCCAGAGCUUAACUUUGGAGCUGCAUUUUUAACUACCGGGCUAGAGUGUGUCAGAGGGAGGUGGAAUUCCGCGUGUAGCAGUGAAAUGCGUAGAUAUGCGGAGGAACACCGAUGGCGAAGGCAGCCUCCUGGGAUAACACUGACGCUCAUGCACGAAAGCGUGGGGAGCAAACAGGAUUAGAUACCCUGGUAGUCCACGCCCUAAACGAUGUCAACUAGCUGUUGGGGCCUUCGGGCCUUGGUAGCGCAGCUAACGCGUGAAGUUGACCGCCUGGGGAGUACGGUCGCAAGAUUAAAACUUAAAGGAAUUGACGGGGGUGCAUAGCU